rnacentral:rRNA from 1 species
UACGUAGGGUGCAAGCGUUAAUCGGAAUUACUGGGCGUAAAGCGUGCGCAGGCGGUUUUGUAAGUCUGUCGUGAAAUCCCCGGGCUCAACCUGGGAAUUGCGAUGGAGACUGCAAGGCUAGAAUCUGGCAGAGGGGGGUAGAAUUCCACGUGUGAGCAGUGAAAUGCGUAGAGAUGUGGAGGAACACCGAUGGCGAAGGCAGCCCCCUGGGCA